rnacentral:misc_RNA from 1 species
GAUCAUUAAUUGCCGACCAAUAUUGGUCGGUCUGAGGGCUUGGAAAUUUCAAAAGCUUGGGUACGCCCAGUUUUUAAAGAGUACAUUCCUUUCUACCCUUGUUCUUUUGCGCACUUAUGUUUCCUCGGCAGGUUAGCCUGCCGAUUGGACAAUCAAAACCCUUUAUUUCUCAAUCAGCGUCUGAAAAUAAUAAAUAUUUACAACUUUCAACAACGGAUCUCUUGGUUCUGGCAUCGAUGAAGAACGCAGCGAAAUGCGAUAAGUAGUGUGAAUUGCAGAAUUCAGUGAAUCAUCGAAUCUUUGAACGCACAUUGCGCCCCUUGGUAUUCCAUGGGGCAUGCCUGUUCGAGCGUCAUUUGUAAACUCAAGCUCUGCUUGGUGUUGGGUGUUUGUCUUUUUUAAAGACUCGCCCUAAAUACAUUGGCAGCUAGUAUAUUAGUUUGAAGCGCAGCACAUUUGCAAUUCGAGCUGGUUAUAUUGGCAUCCACGAAGCAUAACAUCACGUUUGACCUCGGAUCAGGUAGGGAUACCCGCUGAACUUAAGCAUAUCAAUAAGCGGAGGA